rnacentral:rRNA from 1 species
UACGAAGGGGGCUAGCGUUGCUCGGAAUCACUGGGCGUAAAGGGUGCGUAGGCGGGUUUUUAAGUCAGAGGUGAAAUCCUGGAGCUCAACUCCAGGAACUGCCUUUGAUACUGAAAGUCUUGAGUAUGGGAGAGGUGAGUGGAACUGCGAGUGUAGAGGUGAAAUUCGUAGAUAUUCGCAAGAACACCAGUGGCGAAGGCGGCUCACUGGCCCAUUACUGACGCUGAGGCACGAAAGCGUGGGGAGCAACA